CAGCGGAGCAUGCGGCUUAAUUCGACGCAACGCGAAGAACCUUACCAAGGCUUGACAUAUAGUGAAAAGUGGCAGAGAUGUCAUGUCCGCAAGGGCGCUAUACAGGUGGUGCAUGGUUGUCGUCAGCUCGUGUCGUGAGAUGUUGGGUUAAGUCCCGCAACGAGCGCAACCCUCGUUCUGUGUUACCAGCAUUUAGUUGGGGACUCACAGGAGACUGCCGGGGUCAACUCGGAGGAAGGUGGGGAUGACGUCAAAUCAUCAUGCCCCUUAUGUCUUGGGCUGCACGCAUGCUACAAUGGCCGGUACAAAGUGCUGCGAGAUCGCAAGAUUGAGCGAAUCACAUAAAGCCGGUCUCAGUUCGGAUUGAGGUCUGCAACUCGACCUCAUGAAGUCGGAGUUGCUAGUAAUCGUAGAUCAGCAACGCUACGGUGAAUACGUUCCCGGGGCUUGUACACACCGCCCGUCACGUCACGAAAGUCGGUAACACCCAAAGUUAGUGGCCCAACCGCAAGGGGGGAGCUACCUAAGGUGGGAUCGGUGAUUGGGACGAAGUCGUAACAAGGUAGCCGUACCGGAAGGUGCGGCUGGAUCACCUCCUUUCUAA
rnacentral:rRNA from 1 species